GAGGAACUUUGUAUUUGUGGCGGGUCUGUACGUCACGUGGGCCAGGUUGAAAAAAAAAAAAAAAAAAAUGGCACGUUUUUCGCAACUCUGUUUUCAAAAUGGCUUUUAAAAUCGGCCCCGGGGCGUGACAAGUAGGCAGUAUUAUGCUCUUUUAAAAUUUGUAUAUUUAUAUUUUAUAUUUGAAAAGUAUAAGGACAAAUAUAUAUAGAGUAAGACUACUAUGCUAUCGGAAGCACGUAGCCUUUCGUGCUUCCAGCUCGUUUUCGAUGUUGCGACUUUUGAAUCGUCGAUCGGCUCCAUUAAACUUGAUCUAGAGUAUUUGAAGUACCUAGAAAAUAAAUUAUGUAAUUUUUUGAUAUUAUGUGCUUAGUGAACGAAGGGGCUCAAAAUCAACGGCUGAAAAUAAAAAUCUUACAAAACGUGAUAAUAUGACGUUAAAAUUUUAGAUCAAAAAUAUUGAACUUGUUUUAUAUAGCAUAAAGAAUUUUCUAUCAAAGUUUCACGUGAUUUGGAUACUUCUACACUGUUAAACUUGCAAACGGCUCACUGCGACCAUUAAAAUUAUUAAUUUUGAGCCCCUUCGAUCACUAGGCAAAUGAUAUCAAAAAAUCAUAAAAUUUAUUUUCUAGAUGCUUCAAAUACUCUAGAUCAAGUUUAACGGAGCCGAUCGACGAUUCGAAAGUCGCAACAUUGAAAACGAGCUGGAAGCACGGAAGGCUCCGUGCUUCCGAUAGCAUAGUAGCCUCAC
rnacentral:lncRNA from 1 species